rnacentral:rRNA from 1 species
UACAGAGGUCUCAAGCGUUGUUCGGAUUCAUUGGGCGUAAAGGGUGCGUAGGCGGCGCGGUAAGUCGGGUGUGAAAUUUCGAGGCUUAACUUCGAAACUGCAUUCGAUACUGCCGUGCUAGAGGACUGGAGAGGAGACUGGAAUUUACGGUGUAGCGGUGAAAUGCGUAGAUAUCGUAAGGAAGACCAGUGGCGAAGGCGGGUCUCUGGACAGUUCCUGA